AAGUCGUAACAAGGUAACCGUAGGUGAACCUGCGGUUGGAUCAUUAAUGAGAAUGGCAUGUGUUUAUUUUCUCGUAGCGUAAGCGAAGAGGGAAUAGAUUUCAUGUCCCACUGAGACUCUUUCUUUGAGAGGGUCUCGACACACCCCAAUGUCUGCGGGGUUGCGGGGUAGUCUUUCGGGACAGGCCCGCAAUAAGCGACAGUAGCACUGAGAAAAGGCGUAAGCCCGCUCGAGGUGUGCCAUAGACUUUUGUUGGCUGUUUAGCUAUUUUGUACAUGACUCUCUAGUAGAGCAAUGGACUGAAUAAUGAAAACAACUUUUGACAACGGAUCUCUUGGCUCUC
rnacentral:misc_RNA from 1 species